CUGCUGCAGACAUGGAAACAUAGACAGGGACUCCACCCCUGAUACUAUCAUCCUGCACUGUCUAGACAUACCCCAAAUGUUUGAUCAAACAAUGAAAUAUACUGAGCCAUAACACACUUUCAUCUAUACCCGUGUAACUCCAAUGAAUCCGACAGGCAUCUUCCUGUCAUUAUGUACAGUCCACGUAGGAGCCAGAUACUCUGACAGAGUUGGUCAGCAUUGAUUUCAAUGGAGUUAUGAGUGAAGAAUUCUUCACAGUUUCCUAAGGCUGAUUAGCAAGAAACUGCCAUUGCUGUUCCAGACCAUUUCUCCACCAAAGUUGACACUACUUUUAAACCUGUCAGACAUUAUCGCCCCAAUGCAAUUUUCCCCAAAAUGUCUUUGUCAUGGACUCAACAAAUAUGAGGUAAUGUCUCUGACCUGUGGAUUACCUGCUUCAGUGCUUUUGUGCUAUCAAGGACAGCCAGAGACACAUUUUAGAUAAAAAGGAUUUACUAAACAGUCACGAAAUAAUAGUGAAGGCAGUUAGACACUGACACUGUAGAUCAAGAAAUGGCCAGUCCUGCAAGAUGCUGAGUACAUUCUAUGAGGUGAUUAAUAUCCUCAGGUCCUAAUGCAAUCAAGGUGCUCGUUACCUUUCAGACUUGAGCUCUCAGUCCCUAAUGAUUUGGGGUAAAUUAAAAACAAACAACAACAAACUAAAUAGCUAAGAAGCCCGAGUCUUGUUCCUAAAUGGGACUUAUGCUACUAAGUUAGGCACUUUUGAAAAUGGUAUCCUUAAGGCAAGUCUACACUACAGUCCUGCAUCGGCGCAGCUGCACUGCACUGCACC